AGCGAACGCUGGCGGCAGGCCUAACACAUGCAAGUCGAACGAACCUUUCGGGGUUAGUGGCGGACGGGUGAGUAACACGUGGGAACGUGCCUUUAGGUUCGGAAUAACCCAGGGAAACUUGUGCUAAUACCGAAUGUGCCCUUCGGGGGAAAGAUUUAUCGCCUUUAGAGCGGCCCGCGUCUGAUUAGCUAGUUGGUUGAGGUAAUGGCUCACCAAGGCGACGAUCAGUAGCUGGUCUGAGAGGAUGAUCAGCCACAUUGGGACUGAGACACGGCCCAAACUCCUACGGGAAGCAGCAGUGGGGAAUCUUGCGCAAUGGGCGAAAGCCUGACGCAGCCAUGCCGCGUGAAUGAUGAAGGUCUUAGGAUUGUAAAAUUCUUUCACCGGGGACGAUAAUGACGGUACCCGGAGAAGAAGCCCCGGCUAACUUCGUG
rnacentral:rRNA from 1 species